GGAUUUCACAAUUAUUCAAUAUAUGAAUGGGGGGUGUUUUUAAAAUCCCAGCUGCACACCUGUACCCAAAAUCCCAUGUUGAGACCCCCCGUGAAUAGUCGUAUCAACAUUUAUACCAACCAAUAUGUUUGAUAAGCCAGAAAUGAUGAAAUGGCUCAAUCAAAAUAUUGUUUCUAACAUUAUAUUAAAAUUGAAUAGUUAUCAAUGAUUUUUGUAUUAUUAUUUUCUUAUUAUUAUUCAUUUAUAAUUGUAAAUACUUUUAUAAAAUGUAUUUCAAUUCAGAUAACAUACUUAAGUGUGUAAGAAGAGGGAUAAAGUUUGGUUGUUUGUUCAGUGGACCAUGAAAUGAUUUUGACUUUUUAUAAUUUUGUAUAAGAAGCAACAGGAGAAGUGACAUAUAUAUAAAUUAGUUAAACUUAAACAUAGUAUUUCAUUUUCAUAUAUCAGACUUGGAUUUGGAUUCUAUAAUUUCUUUAUGAGUUAUUUCCCCUAGGGUAAGACAUUGUUGUUCUAGUACUAUGUUUUAUUUAGAUGUAAAUCUUGUAAUUUCACUUGAACUCCUUUUUUGUUUGGUUACUUAGGGAAAAUAUCAAAGUAAGGAGGUAUAUAUGUAAUUUGUAAUUUGUUCAAAAAGUUUAAGUUGGAUUAUCUCCCAUUUACAAAACCAAAAGUCAACUAAAAAGUUAUUAACAUGUAAAGUAGCAAAUGCAUUAUAAACAUGUACUUGCAAAAUACACCAGGAGUUGGUUUCACCUAAAAACUUACAGUUAAGGCUGAUCUUUAGUCAUGGACAAUUCAGUAUACUUAUGGUUAAUCUUAUUCGUAAGUUUUUUUGUGAAACUGACACCAGAUCCUUAAAAGUAUAUGUUUUGUUGCUUGUAUGUUUUUUUCUUAUAGGUAAUGGAAAAUGUUUUGCACUGAGUUAUCUCCACUUUACUAGGAAAAUCUUAAGCUAAAAAUAACUAAACUGUAAAUCUGUUUUAUUCCUCUUGCAUCUGCAAAUAUGGAUGUCUGAUAAGUCAAAUAAGUAAUUAUAUUAAGUAUCAUGUCACUUCUCUAAACUUAUCAGAGAGAAAAACAAUACAUGUAGUUAUAACUAGCCAAUCAAAUUAUCAAACAGGUAAAGAAGGAUAUCUGAGCUAUCUCUCUUACAAGUCUAUAUUGAAAUUGGGAUCAUGGUUCAUUGAACUAUCUAAUGAAGCGUACUCACUAACGAAGUUCCAUUGUAAAUCAAAAAGAUGUUUUUUGCAUGCAAAAAAAUGAAAACAACACUAUGAAUUUAUUUCAUCCAAAGUGCUUUUCUGGAAACAUUUUGCCAUCAGUUUUCUCUACUGCAAGAAAAAGGGAAAAGUUGAAUUGUAAUCAUAAUUGUUUUUGUCACAAAACCAAGUAAACAACUUCAUUAUAGUUCUUCAUUGUAUAUUUUUACUUACAUCAAAUUGUGUUAAAUACAUGAAAUAGUUUUUCACCAAAUACUGAUAAAUGGUCAGAAAGUUAUUUAGUUAGAAUGUAUAUUCUCUAAAAUGUUCAGUUGUACAUGCAGAUAUUCCUGCUCACUAAGAGUUUAAGUGAGGGAGAUAAUAAAUAAAAACCCAUCAUAUGCAACCGCAUGGUUUUGAGGGAUAUAUAGGUUAAUGAUUAUAUUAUGAUCUAAAGAAAGGAAAAGCAGAGUCAAAUUUUAGUUAUCUGUAAUCUUACCUUUCAGCAGGUAUUUUGAAUUGUAUUUUAAUUUUUAAUGAUUUCUGAAUAUUUUCAAGUAAUGUUGAAUAUUCUUCAUACUUAAUAUAUAACAUUGAAAUUCUCUAAAUUUGUUAAGAACUUAAGAUACAGAUCACAUUCUCUUGGAAACACUUUUGGACAAAAUAUUUUGUAUAUUUAUAAAUAAAAAUAUGUAUACAAUAUUGUGUUAGUAAUAUAUAAAUAGGAAAAUGUUUUUAACAUUUGCAUAUCAAUUAGAAUUCAAAGGCCCAAUGGAUACAAGGUUGAACACCCUCAACUCUGUUUCUAAAUGACUAGGAGUCACAGUUUUUGUAGACUAAAUGUUGGGGUUUCUUUCUGGGCACCAUCAAUAAAACUGGUCUCCAUGAUGCAUGCUGUACAACCUUUUGUGGUAGCUGCAGCAAAGAUAAAGUUCGAAGUUACUAAAUUUAGACCAUAAUAUAUACAGGAAAGUGAUAUCAGGAUGCCCAAUAAAAAAUCCUGUAUUAUAUUGCAAUCUUACUCUGACACAUGUUUUAUUAUAGCAGGAAAAUCGCUUUUUAAGGUAGCAGAAUGCAAAGAUUUUUUUUACUUCCAAUCUCCAACCUUUAAACUGCUGUUACUUUUUUAAAACUGCAUAUAAAUUAAUAAAAGAGG
rnacentral:lncRNA from 1 species